rnacentral:tRNA from 1 species
GGGCGUGUAGCUCAGCUGGUUAGAGCGCACGGUUCACAUCCGUGAGGUCACAGGUUCGACUCCUGUCACGCCCACCA